AGAGUUUGAUCCUGGCUCAGAUUGAACGCUGGCGGCAGGCUUAACACAUGCAAGUCGAGCGGGGAAAGGUAGCUUGCUACCUGACCUAGCGGCGGACGGGUGAGUAAUGCUUAGGAAUCUGCCUAUUAGUGGGGGACAACAUUCCGAAAGGAAUGCUAAUACCGCAUACGCCCUACGGGGGAAAGCAGGGGAUCUUCGGACCUUGCGCUAAUAGAUGAGCCUAAGUCAGAUUAGCUAGUUGGUGGGGUAAAGGCCUACCAAGGCGACGAUCUGUAGCGGGUCUGAGAGGAUGAUCCGCCACACUGGGACUGAGACACGGCCCAGACUCCUACGGGAGGCAGCAGUGGGGAAUAUUGGACAAUGGGCGAAAGCCUGAUCCAGCCAUGCCGCGUGUGUGAAGAAGGCCUUUUGGUUGUAAAGCACUUUAAGCGAGGAGGAGGCUACUUAGAUUAAUAUUCUAGGAUAGUGGACGUUACUCGCAGAAUAAGCACCGGCUAACUCUGUGCCAGCAGCCGCGGUAAUACAGAGGGUGCGAGCGUUAAUCGGAUUUACUGGGCGUAAAGCGUGCGUAGGCGGCUUUUUAAGUCGGAUGUGAAAUCCCUGAGCUUAACUUAGGAAUUGCAUUCGAUACUGGGAAGCUAGAGUAUGGGAGAGGAUGGUAGAAUUCCAGGUGUAGCGGUGAAAUGCGUAGAGAUCUGGAGGAAUACCGAUGGCGAAGGCAGCCAUCUGGCCUAAUACUGACGCUGAGGUAC
rnacentral:rRNA from 1 species